rnacentral:rRNA from 1 species
CCCGCCAACGAGCGCAACCCCUACUCUCAGUUGCCAGCACAUAAUGGUGGGCACUCUGUGGAGACUGCCCGGGUUAACCCGGGAGGAAGGUGGGGAUGACGUCAAGUCAUCAUGGCCCUUACGCCUAGGGCUACACACGUACUACAAUGGUGGGUACAAAGGGCAGCGAAACCGCGAGGUCGAGCGAAUCUCAAAAAACCCCAUCAUAGUCCGGAUUGCAGUCUGCAACUCGACUGCAUGAAGUUGGAAUCGCUAGUAAUCCCGGAUCAGCAUGCCGGGGUGAAUACGUUCCCGGGCCUU